ACACAGUCGGUACGAAGUCGUAACAAGGUAGUUGACGGUGAACUUGUGGCUGAAC
rnacentral:rRNA from 4 species